rnacentral:rRNA from 1 species
GACGAACGCUGGCGGCGUGCUUAACACAUGCAAGUCGAACGGAAAGGCCCUGCUUUUGUGGGGUGCUCGAGUGUCGAACGGGUGAGUAACACGUGAGUAACCUGCCCUUUACUUUGGGAUAACUUCAGUAAACUGGGUCUAAUACCGGAUAGGAGCUCCUGCUGCAUGGUGGGGGUUGGAAAGUUUCGGCGGUUGGGGAUGGACUCGCGGCUUAUCAGCUUGUUGGUGGGGUAGUGGAUUACCAAGGCUUUGACGGGUAGCCGGCCUGAGAGGGUGACCGGCCACAUUGGGACUGGGAUACGGCCAAGACGCAUACGGGAGGCAGCAGUGGGGAAUAUUGCAAAAUGGGCGGAAGCCUGAUGCAGCAACGCCGCGUGCGGGAUGACGGCCUUAGGGUUGGAAACCGCUUUCGCCUGUGACGAAGAGUGAGUGACGGUAAUGGGUAAAGAAGCAACGGCUAACUACGUG